UAUAUAGAUAUAUAUAUAUAUAUAUAUAUAUAUAUAUAUGCUGUAUAGAAGGAGGAUGGAGCGAUUAGGCCAACGUGAAUAAAGUACCUCACAAUCAAAUGUACUAUUUACAUUUUUAAGAAAAAAAUGCACGUUACAUUGAAUCCUAUUCCCUCCCUAUCAAUGGUAUUCAUUGGACACUGAUAAAAAAUAGAGAAAAAGAAAUGUAAGCUUAACUGAAUCUUCCCUUGCCUGAUUCACUUGACCCCUUCCGUCCACACGUCACAGGUUGCUGUGGCCUUCCUCUACCAACAUCCAUCGCGUAUAAGCAUGUUAACGGAUAUUUUUAAAUUACCCUUACAAAAAAACUUAGCCUUAAAAUGCAUAUGUUUAUAGAACAAUUUCUACCCAAAAUUACAUUUUGUAUUAUUCCCCAAAAUAUUUGCAUAAACUCAUGUUACACCCUAUAUACAUUUCUCAGAUCACGUUCUCCUACAUGCAGUUCAAACAGUUGUAAAUUUCGUUUGUUGAGACUUGAAUUCCAGAACUUUCCUAGUUUAUGCGGAAUGGGCAGCGAUUCAGGCAAAGCAGACAGGUCAACAGAACCUUCCUUCCUAGACCUAUGAGUGCGCUCUCCAUCCUUUGUUGAACAGUCAAUGCGGCUGUCAAAUAUAAAAUGAUCCAUGAGCCGUGCACUUGUGAGGGACUGGAGAAGAUUUGUUACUGAAAUUAUUUCAUGAAAUAAAAGGUCAAACCCAGCCACAGAAGCAAUAUUUCCAGUCAUUCCUACAACUACAUGACCACGGGGACCCUUUACAAAGCUGGUCAAUAACCUUUGCCACAGCAGAAAAUACUGCUCCUGGUUGAUCUUUUGCAAUGAAAUGUCCCGUGCAGAAUUUGUUGUUUCAGUCUUUGAAAAAAAAAAGGAUUUGGGUAUAUCGUAUAAUGCUAAAUAAAAUCUCAAUCAAUCAUCAAGUACUAGGGUGCAUUCCCAUGCAUUUUAAAGCUCGUUUGAAUCAGAAAUCUUAUCAUCAAGUUUAUAAUCAACCUGGCUUACAUUUUUGUUUAAGGACUCCCAACUUGUCUGAGCACAUCCAGAUUCUUAACCUUUGCAGCUAGUUCUGCAGUAGUAAUGUGUGAGGAGACAAUUCGGCUUCAUUUUUCUAGGAUUGGGAGAAAAUUGAAUUUUUUCACCAUACUGAUCAGCAUUAUAUAUCUGAAAACAUAGUGUGUCAUCUAAAUCACAUAUACUUAUACGUAUGCCUGAAAUAUGUCUCAAACAGUGAAGCCAAACUCACGUUGUAAGAAAGGGUCGAUGAGUUCUAAUGUUUUUACAAAAAGAUCUUGUUCAACUAAAGUACUAGAUUUGACAGUUUCAUCAAGAGAGCUACUGCAGCAUUGUGUCGUCUCUAGUUCACUAUGAAGCGUUUAAGACAGACCUUGUGGUAGUAAAUAUCUUCAUUUUUGAAAUGUCUAGUAGCAAUAAAAAUUGCUUCAGUAGCAUUUCGCUCACUAAUUUGAAACUUGCUCAAAAUUACUUGAUUAACUUUCAUCCUUUCACUGCCACAUACAGUACUUAUUAGUUAGGGUCUUUUCCAUGACUGGAUUUUUCCUUUGGCCUAACAUCAUUGGGCUUAACAUGCUAGAAGAUGUUUCAUUUUCAGCUUCACAUGAAGUUUCGGCAUCACUGGUUAAAGUUUCUACAUCAUCUUCUAUUUGUUUCAGUAUCUUACUGAUGUGAUAAGCAUAAGGUAUAGCUACUCCUCUUCUCUUUUCAGUCUUUUAGUAACAAUGUCCUUUCUUAUAUAUGCAGCAUGUUUCAUGCUCCUCCGUCCAUCCUCCGAUAGAUGUGUGUUUUUUAUUUCAUGCUUCUGGCAGAUAAUGCAUUUGAAAGCAUCAAAUUCAUUUAAGGUAUUUUCCAUCAACAGUAUCCCUUGUUGAUGUUCUUGUUGAGAAGGCUUUUGGUUUGUACUUUCAGCCAUUGUAAGCUCAGUGACUCAGUUACUCUGAAACAGAUAAAAACAAACAUAUGUUGAUGGUGAAGACAGCGGCUAUAGCUACCAAACACUUCUAAAAAACACAAAAUUGCCCACUAUUGCAGUCCUCUUAACAUAUUGAUAAAUCAAAUAUAUUGGAGACUUACUGUAAAGAUUUCCAAGGAUAAAGCAACAAAAUACAAUAUCCUAAAGCAUAGAUAAACUUCAGUGUUUGCAUGAUUAAAUCCAUGUACUACAACACUGAAUAUUGAAGUCGAUAACUCCAACCUCUGAACACGUAAAUAUUCAUUUCAUAUCCGAUGUGUGCUUGAGCCCAGUGUUGCCAAAGUAUUCCCAUAUCUAUAACUUCUGCUGAGAAAAUUACUUAACACAUUUAUUCCUUGGGCAGAAAUGAGUAAAAACAGGCGUAUCAAAUAGUGUUCUGCUGUGAACGGUAGUAGGUACCAAAUUUAGUAUUCAGUAUAUCCCAUUACUGGCCGCCAUCUUAUCACCCCAAGCAGCCAUUUACCACAGUUUUGAAAAAGCACCUGCAUUUUUUUUAGCCUAAACCAAUAUAUUUUCAAUUUCUGAAGUCGAAAUUAGGGGACAUUGAAAUGUAUACGGACCUAAUUGCCAGGGACUGGAUUAUCACCGACUAACGAAGCCUUAAAUUUAAUCCAUAGGUUCAUAGAACAUUUUCUACUCAAAAUUACUUUUUCUUCCAUUCCCCAAAAUAUUUGCAUAAACUUGUGCUACACCCUGUAUAUAUAUAUAUAUAUAUAUAUAUAUAUAUAUAUAUAUAUAUAUAUAUAUAUAUAUACUAUAUGUAUAUGUGUGUGUGUGUCUGUGUGUCUGUGUCUGUGUGUUUAUAAAUAUACAUAUAAUGCGUGUGUUUGUGUUUCUAUAAAUGCAGUGGCUUUUACAGACAGGUCGCAAAUUAGACCUUCACUUGGUUAUUUACUGAAUUUCCUUAAAUCAUAAGCCAUUACGUGAUAUUUCUGGAUAACUGGCCCUGUCAUUUCAUGAAAUAGGUGGAGAUUUUUGAACAAAAAUAUAUGUCAUGGUUGUCUAGUACCAACUAGACAAGAGUUUUCACUAGUCGUUGUCAUUUAAUUCAACUCUUAAUUAAUACUUUAUGUAUUAAAAGUUUCUAUGAAACAUUUGUCUUUAAAAGUGAUUAUAGUAUAUGAGUACAUACUGCAAAUUUAAAUAAUGAACUCAGAAGCUAUUCUGUCUAAAUAUUAAAUCGUUUUGUUGUUUUGGAAAGUGUUAUAACAAGACUGAUUUAAUCUGCUAGACAAUACUUUAACCUAUAUCAUAGUUAUAUAGUUUUUAAAUAUAAUUAUUGUAAUACCCACUAUGCGGCAACACGGCCUACAAUAUGAAUGGAUUGUAUUUGUUUUCAGAAUUCCUUUGUUUAAAACUCUUUUUCAUAAGGUGUCCACUUUCAGAUUCAGCUUAUAUUCCUAUAUUCGAAUGGUGAAAACUGUUUUAGGCAGCAAUGAUAAGAUUUAAUCGUAAAAAAUAAAGUGUACAAUAGC